rnacentral:rRNA from 1 species
AGAGUUUGAUCAUGGCUCAGGACAAACGCUGGCGGCGUGCCUAACACAUGCAAGUCGAGCGCGAAAGGAGCUUCGGCUCCGAGUAAAGCGGCGAACGGGUGAGUAACACGUGGGCAACCUGCCCUAGGGACAGGGAUAACUCCGGGAAACCGGGGCUAAUACCUGGCGAUGUCGUCUCGCGCAAGCGAGCCGACCAAAUGGUAGCUUCGGCCUCCGCCCUAGGAUGGGCCCGCGUCCUAUCAGCUUGUUGGUGAGGUAACGGCUCACCAAGGCUACGACGGGUAGCUGGUCUGAGAGGAUGAUCAGCCACACUGGGACUGAGAUACGGCCCAGACUCCUACGGGAGGCAGCAGUGGGGAAUCUUGCGCAAUGGGCGAAAGCCUGACGCAGCAACGCCGCGUGAGCGAAGAAGGCCUUCGGGUUGUAAAGCUCUGUCAGGGGGAAAGAAGGCACCUGGGUUAAUAGCCCAAGGGUUGACGGUACCCCCAAAGGAAGCCACGGCUAACUACGUGCCAGCAGCCGCGGUAAUACGUAGGUGGCAAGCGUUGUCCGGAAUCAUUGGGCGUAAAGAGCGCGUAGGUGGCUUGUCAGGUCUGAUGUGAAAACUUGGGGCUCAACCCCAAGCCUGCAUCGGAAACCGGCUUGCUAGAGUCUGGGAGAGGAGAGUGGAAUUCCUGGUGUAGCGGUGAAAUGCGUAGAUAUCAGGAGGAACACCGGUAGCGAAGGCGGCUCUCUGGAACAGUACUGACGCUGAGGCGCGAAAGCUAGGGGAGCGAACAGGAUUAGAUACCCUAGUAGUCC